GGUGGCUCAAUGGUAGAGUACUUGCCUUGCAUGCAGGAGGCCCUGGGUUCAAUUCCUCAGCACCA
rnacentral:tRNA from 1 species